CUCCAGCUCCAGUACCCGGCUCUCCAGCCGAAGGAUCUGUGGGACAACUGGCAUGAGCAGGUGCACCUGCCCGCGGGCCACCUGGGGGCACGUGUCCUGGGCCUGCACCCCCCGUCCCCCAUGCACUGAGGCUGGUUCACACGGCUGCUCACCUCACUCUUCAGCUGGAAGAUUUCAGCCUCAUGCUGCUCAUGUAGGUGGUGGGUUGUGAUCUGAAUGUCGACCAGCUCCUUGGAGAUCUGUGGGUGGCCAGGUGAGAGGUGGCGUCUGUGGGCCCUGCUGGCACCCUCCCUCCUCACGAGCACGCUGGGGCCCCACACCCACCUGCAGCUGCUGCUCCUUAUUGAGCGCUAGAUCUGGUGGGACCUCUGCUUCCAAGCUGGUGGCCCACACUGCGGUGCCCCCAG
rnacentral:lncRNA from 1 species